rnacentral:rRNA from 1 species
GUGGGGAAUUUUGGACAAUGGGCGCAAGCCUGAUCCAGCAAUGUAGCGUGUGUGAAGAAGGCCUUCGGGUUGUAAAGCACUUUUGUCCGGAAAGAAAUCUCCUGGGUUAAUACCUCGGGGGGAUGACGGUACCGGAAGAAUAAGCACCGGCUAACUACGUGCCAGCAGCCGCGGUAAUACGUAGGGUGCGAGCGUUAAUCGGAAUUACUGGGCGUAAAGCGUGCGCAGGCGGCUAUGCAAGACAGAUGUGAAAUCCCCGGGCUCAACCUGGGAACUGCAUUUGUGACUGCAUGGCUAGAGUGCGUCAGAGGGAGGUGGAAUUCCGCGUGUAGCAGUGAAAUGCGUAGAGAUGCGGAGGAACACCGAUGGCGAAGGCAGCCUCCUGGGAUGACACUGACGCUCAUGCACGAAAGCGUGGGGAGCAAACAGGAUUAGAAACCCGGGUAGUCC